AGUCAGUGCUCUUAACCGCUGAGCCAUCUCUCCAGCCCUAAUUAAAAAUUUUUAUACAACAUAUUUUGGUCAUAUUCUUUCCCAGCUCUUCCCAAAUCUGCCCCACCUCCCUGGCCACCCAACCUCAUGUUUUCUCUCUCAGAAAUAAACAGGAACAACAACAAAACAGACAGACUUUAAAUAAAAAAGAAGAAUCAAUGAGACCAAAAGACCAAAAUGCCCACCAAACCCCCCAAAAUAAAAAGACAAACAAAGCAACAACAUAAACAUGGAAUCUGGUUGUGUGGCCAACUCCUCCUGGGCAUGGCGUCUGCCCUGGGGUUGUAGAAAUAUUUAAUCCCGGCCCGGGGUUUCUCCCCCACCUUUUACCAUUUAGGUCCUGGAUAAAAGAUACACUCAGCCUUUAUAUUUACAAUAAAUCUUAGACAGUACAUGAGCCAGACAACUAGCUACCCUCUUUGCUGUUAAAAUCUAUUUUCCUAUCGAUAACCCCAAGUUAUUAUGUUUCAUCUGGACUGCUCUUUACUUCAACUGGCCAGCCUUCUGGGCCACAUUUUCAUGGCUCACCUAACCCAUGGGGUUCUCCUGCCUCCUCCUGCACCUUCUUCUUCCCCUGUUUCUCUUCCAACCCCAAGCCUGAGAAACCUAAACCCCACCUAUGUUUCUUCUGUCCAGCUAUUGGCUAUUGGCAUUGUUAUUCACCAAUCAGAAAUAAUUUUGGGCAACCAGUUUUGGAGGCCCAAUAUUAGCAUUAGAAUACAAGCAGCUUCUGGCCAACUACACCCUGGAAUGUGGUUGAUAAACCCAGUGACACUCCUUUGGAGAGAACUGUUGUUCCCUGUCUCAGAAGGUGUUGAUUGCAAAUAGCUUCUUGGUUAAGGGUGGGACCCUGUCUUAGUUAGGGUUCUACUGCUGCAAAGAGACACUAAGAACAACACAACUCUUAUAAAGAAAACCAUUUAAUUGGGGCUGGGUUACAGGUUCAGAGGUUCAGUCCAUUAUGAUGGGAACAUGGCAGCGUGCAGGCCGACUUGAUGCUGGAGGAGCUGAGAGUUCUACAUCUUGAUCCAAAGGCAAGGACAUCCUCUAGCAAGGCCACACCUCCUAACAGUGCCACUCCCCAGGGCCAAGCAUUCAGACACAUGAAUCUAUGGAGACCAAACCUACUCAAACCACCAUAGAUACUGUUUUUCUUCUUCAGUGCUGGGAUCUGUCUGGUUUGCAGCUGUGCAGGCCCUGUGCAUGCUAUCACGGUCUCUGACAGCCCCGCCGUGUCUGGAAGAUGCAGUGUCCUGGCUGAGGAGCACUCCCUGCCUUAAGUGCUGAUGUACUUUAGUCUGCAUCUUGGUGCGGAGUUCUCUGUCCUCACACAGUCUUCAUGCCGUGAGGCUGUCUAGGCUGUCCUGAUGAUAACACGAUGUCUCUGUCAUCCGACCUGGAGAGGACAGUCUUCCUUUACACUGUUUGGAACUCCCUGUUCCUCUAAUGAAAGGGGACAGGGGUCUGGCAGAGGGUUUUCCUUCUCUGAGUCCUCUUUGUUUCUUUUCCUCUUUGUUACCAAGUCUGUGUUCUUCACAGGCCACGGACACACUGGAUUUCCCCUAACACUACUUGAUGUUGUCUCUUAUUUACAGAACCCACUGACACUGAAUUUAAACUUCAACCUUCUUUUCUUGGCUUUUUAAUUCCUCUUAACACUUAGAGGAGAGUGAUGGAGUGUCUUCCUGGCGCUGCUGUUUGGUUUUGCUUUUGUUGAUACUGGGCUCACAUCACCCAGGCUAGCCUUGAACGCCCUAGGUAACCAAGGAUGACUUUGAAUUUGCAGUGCUCCUGCUUCUACUGCCCAAGUGAUGGGUCUAGGCAGGCGCUACCCCUCUCCCAUUUACCAAGCGCUAGAGAUCAGACCCAGGGCUUCACGCCUAGAAGGCUCUUUUUCACCUUGGCUGUACCCUCUGCUUCCCAAAUUGCCUUCUCUUAAUUUUUAUUAGUUAAAAUUAUCCUGUUUAAGUAUUACAAUAGAAAAUAAGUAUUUGAAUAGAAAUGUAUAGAAGUAUCUAAACUGUCUCUCUUCUUUGUCCCGUUCUACUUAUAAUCUAAAAACCUACAAAGUCACACUCUUGAAUAAGCACUCUGAAAUGUUAGGGAUUAUUAGCCUGCAACUUGUAGCUCUUAACAGUGGCUCUCAGUGAAGGAUGGCCUCCCAUAGAACAUUAAAUGGGCCCGGGAAGCUUUGCUUGUCACAAUUGGAUACUGAUGUUAUCUAUGUUGCAGUUGCUGCUACCCAUAAUUCAGGCCCUGCAACAAAGACACGCCUAUUCCCAUGGCAGCCAGUGGUGCCAAGCCCAAGACACCUGAUGGAGAAUUAGCAGCUUUGUGUGUGUGUGUGUGUAUAUGUGUGUGUGUGAGUGUGUGAUGUAUAAUAUCUACAUGUACUAGUGCAGUUUACCUGCUUAAGAUCCUUCCUUUAGCUUUUUGUUUUUAAAAGAAAUCACACACACACACAGUGAGCCUGGAACUCACUCGGGUGACUUUAAGCUUGUGAUCCACUCUUAAGAGUCGCAAAUGCUAGGAUUACAAGUGUGGGCCAUUAUUCCUGCUACAAACAAAUUUUAGGAAACU
rnacentral:lncRNA from 1 species